GCACAAGCGGUGGAGCAUGUGGUUUAAUUCGAAGCAACGCGAAGAACCUUACCAGGUCUUGACAUCCCACUGACCGGUAUAGAGAUAUACCUUUCCCUUCGGGGACAGUGGUGACAGGUGGUGCAUGGUUGUCGUCAGCUCGUGUCGUGAGAUGUUGGGUUAAGUCCCGCAACGAGCGCAACCCUUGAUCUUAGUUGCCAGCAUUUAGUUGGGCACUCUAAGGUGACUGCCGGUGACAAACCGGAGGAAGGUGGGGAUGACGUCAAAUCAUCAUGCCCCUUAUGACCUGGGCUACACACGUGCUACAAUGGAUGGUACAAGGGGCUGCGAGACUGCGAAGUCAAGCGAAUCCCAUAAAACCAUUCUCAGUUCGGAUUGCAGGCUGCAACUCGCCUGCAUGAAGCUGGAAUCGCUAGUAAUCGUGGAUCAGCAUGCCACGGUGAAUACGUUCCCGGGC
rnacentral:rRNA from 1 species